rnacentral:rRNA from 1 species
CCUACGGGGGGCUGCAGUAGGGAAUAUUGGACAAUGGGUGCGAGCCUGAUCCAGCCAUGCCGCGUGCAGGAAGAAGGCGUUAUGCGUUGUAAACUGCUUUUGCCAGGGGAUAAAAUAACUGUGCGCAGUUGAUUGAAGGUACCUGGUGACUAAGCCACGGCUAACUACGUGCCAGCAGCCGCGGUAAUACGUAGGUGGCAAGCGUUGUCCGGGUUUAAUGGGUUCGAAGGGUGCCUUGGAAGUCAGUGGUGAAAUAUCUCAGCUUAACUGAGAGGGUGCCAUUGAUACUGCGGGGCUUGAGUACAGAUGAGGUAGGCGGAAUUGACGGUGUAGCGGUGAAAUGCAUAGAUAUCGUCAAGAACACCGAUAGCGAAGGCAGCUUACCAAGCUGUAACUGACGCUGAGGCACGAAAGUGUGGGGAUCAAACAGGAUUAGAUACCCCAGUAGUC